rnacentral:rRNA from 1 species
AACGAACGCUGGCGGCAUGCCUAACACAUGCAAGUCGAACGGGACCUUCGGGUCUAGUGGCGCACGGGUGCGUAACGCGUGGGAACCUGCCCUUAGGUUCGGAAUAACUCCCCGAAAGGGGUGCUAAUACCGGAUAAUGUCUUCGGACCAAAGAUUUAUCGCCUUUGGAUGGGCCCGCGUUGGAUUAGCUAGUUGGUAGGGUAAAAGCCUACCAAGGCGACGAUCCAUAGCUGGUCUGAGAGGAUGAUCAGCCACACUGGGACUGAGACACGGCCCAGACCCCUACGGGAGGCAGCAGUGGGGAAUAUUGGACAAUGGGCGAAGGCCUGAUCCAGCAAUGCCGCGUGAGUGAUGAAGGCCUUAGGGUUGUAAAGCUCUUUUACCCGGGAUGAUAAUGACAGUACCGGGAGAAUAAGCUCCGGCUAACUCCGUG